CGAGGACGAACGCUGGCGGCGUGCCUAACACAUGCAAGUCGAACGGAGUUGAGCCCUUCGGGACUUAUCUUAGUGGCGGACGGGUGAGUAACGCGUGGGUAACCUGCCUUAUACCGGGGGAUAACACUUAGAAAUAGGUGCUAAUACCGCAUAAGCGCACGGUGUCGCAUGACACAGUGUGAAAAACUCCGGUGGUAUAAGAUGGACCCGCGUCUGAUUAGCCAGUUGGCAGGGUAACGGCCUACCAAAGCGACGAUCAGUAGCCGGCCUGAGAGGGUGAACGGCCACAUUGGGACUGAGACACGGCCCAAACUCCUACGGGAGGCAGCAGUGGGGAAUAUUGCACAAUGGGGGAAACCCUGAUGCAGCGACGCCGCGUGAGUGAAGAAGUAUUUCGGUAUGUAAAGCUCUAUCAGCAGGGAAGAAGAAAUGACGGUACCUGACUAAGAAGCCCCGGCUAACUACGUG
rnacentral:rRNA from 1 species